GCCCGCAUGGCUAAGUGGUAUAGCGUCUCACUAGUAACUUCUGUAACAUGAGAAGAUCGGCGGUUCGAUUCCGCCUGUGGGCA